UCACACAGGCUUUGCCCAGGAGGCAUAGCUAGAACUGAUACUCCUGUCUUUCUGGGUUCAGAAGGUGUAAGCAUUUCAACUGUAGAGGAACCAAGUCAAUUGUACAGAAAGCAAUAUUGAGUUCCUGUGAAUCAUGAUGCUUCAACAGCUCAACUUCAUACAAGAGAAGAGAAGUGAGCAAACUGUUGGAUUUGGAUUGAAAUUGAGCUUUACCAAAAAGAAGUAGAAAAUGAGAAUCCUUUUUCUAUUCUGCAGCACCAAAAUACACCCUUCAACUUACAAAGGACGACGUCUCCACCUCUUUGUGACACAGUUUUGAAAACUCCGAAACCUAGCAUUGAAUAUUUGAGUACAAGUACAACCUAGCUAGCAUUUCUUCGUUUUCUACAAGAUGAACAUCUGUUGUACGUAAUUCAUUUUUAUGUUAAGGCUAAUGUAUAUUA